AAUUCUCAACCUACAGACCUCUUGCGGAGGUUUGUAAGGCUUGGACUUUGGAGGCUUGUCGGUGGAUAAAAUUUCCGUCGGCCCCUCUGAAAUGUAUUAGCUUGGUCCCUUGCGGAUCGGUUCUCGGUGUGAUAGUUGUCUAUGCCGUGACCGUGAAGUGUUUGGUAAGCUUCUAGCCGUCUCGAUAGAGACAGAUUGUUACUUUGAC
rnacentral:misc_RNA from 1 species